rnacentral:rRNA from 1 species
CCUACGGGUGACAGCAGUGAGGAAUAUUGGUCAAUGGACGAGAGUCUGAACCAGCCAAGUAGCGUGAAGGAUGACUGCCCUAUGGGUUGUAAACUUCUUUUAUAAAGGAAUAAAACGAGGCACGUGUGCCUUUUUGCAUGUACCUUAUGAAUAAGGAUCGGCUAACUCCGUGCCAGCAGCCGCGGUAAUACGGAGGAUCCGAGCGUUAUCCGGAUGUAUUGGGUUUAAAGGGAGCGUAGAUGGGUUGUUAAGUCAGUUGUGAAAGUUUGCGGCUCAACCGUAAAAUUGCAAUUGAAACUGGCAGUCUUGAGUACAGUAGAGGUAGGCGGAAUUCGUGGUGUAGCGGUGAAAUGCUUAGAUAUCACGAAGAACCCCGAUUGCGAAGGCAGCUUACUAAACUGUGACUGACAUUGAUGCUCGAAAGUGUGGGUAUCAAACAGGAUUAGAUACCCCAGUAGUC